GCUGGCGGCAGGCCUAACACAUGCAAGUCGAGCGCUCUCUUCGGAGGAGCGGCGGACGGGUGAGUAACGCGUGGGAACGUGCCCUUCUCUAUGGAAUAGCCACUGGAAACGGUGAGUAAUACCAUAUACGCCCUUCGGGGGAAAGAUUUAUCGGAGAAGGAUCGGCCCGCGUUAGAUUAGGUAGUUGGUGGGGUAAUGGCCUACCAAGCCUACGAUCUAUAGCUGGUUUUAGAGGAUGAUCAGCCACACUGGGACUGAGACACGGCCCAGACUCCUACGGGAGGCAGCAGUGGGGAAUCUUAGACAAUGGGCGCAAGCCUGAUCUAGCCAUGCCGCGUGAGUGAUGAAGGCCUUAGGGUCGUAAAGCUCUUUCGCCAGAGAUGAUAAUGACAGUAUCUGGUAAAGAAACCCCGGCUAACUCCGUGCCAGCAGCCGCGGUAAUACGGAGGGGGUUAGCGUUGUUCGGAAUUACUGGGCGUAAAGCGCACGUAGGCGGAUUAGAAAGUUGGGGGUGAAAUCCCGGGGCUCAACCUCGGAACGGCCUCCAAAACUCCUAGUCUAGAGUUCGAGAGAGGUGAGUGGAAUUCCAAGUGUAGAGGUGAAAUUCGUAGAUAUUUGGAGGAACACCAGUGGCGAAGGCGGCUCACUGGCUCGAUACUGACGCUGAGGUGCGAAAGUGUGG
rnacentral:rRNA from 1 species